UUCUGAAGCCUGCCGCCUUGCAUUCAUCAGAGCUUACCGCAAUUCCCGUAUUUUCUGCCAGCCUGCCGUCUCGAAGCCCGUUAUUUUUGGCGCAAUAUUUGUUCCUUCAGUUUCCGUUAUAACUAUAUACUGUUCGAUUUCGGCUUUCUGUUCAUUCUUGAUGAGUGGUCAAAGGAAAGUUUCGACUUUGAUAAUGGCGUCUAAAACCCUGAUUGCUCUCUACUUUCUGAUUGCCUUGGCCGUGGCAGCAAGCGUUUUAGUCGAGCAAUAUGAGAUCGACAAUUCUAAUGGGGUGAAAUAUUCGUGGAACAGCCGAAAAUCUGAGGCAACAAAAUCUGGUAAAAUCGGUGGAAGGGCCCCGAGAAAACGACAUAUUUCUUAGUAAUAGCAGCAUCGAGAAGAUCGGAAAGCAUACCAGCUGGAUCUUGUCAGACGUCUUCUCUGUUUGUUGAGACUUUUGUCAAACUGAUGCGAGAACCAAAAAAAAAAUCAUCGGUGAUCAGUCAUCAUUGACCUUAACCCUAACCCCAACGAAUUCAUAACUUUGCCUCUAAAAUAUAAAAAUUGAAUAAAUAUAUAUAUAUAUAAUACAAUUUGAAUCUUGUUUCAAAAGUAAUGUAUCACUAUGCCUACAUGUAGCCCAUAUAUUUUUGUGUUGACGGUUAGUCAAUUCACUGGAAAUUGGAUUGUUUUGAUAUAAUGCAUUAAAGAGUACAGUCUUGUACAUGUGCUUCAUAAUUUAAGAAAAAACGUGCAGAGGAAACCAUUGAGGUGUAUACAUUAAUAUAAAUCGAUGAUCUAAACAGU